rnacentral:rRNA from 1 species
UACGUAGGGUGCGAGCGUUGCCCGGAUUUAUUGGGCGUAAAGGGCGCGCAGGCGGUACGGCACGUCCGUUGUGAAAGCCCCCGGCUCAACUGGGGAGGGUCAUUCGAUACUGAUCGACUUUGAAGGCAGGAGAGGGAAGUGGAAUUCCGGGUGUAGUGGUGAAAUGCGUAGAGAUGUGGAGGAACACCAGUGGCGAAGGCGGCUUUCUGGUCUGUAACUGACGCUGAGGCG